CCAUGCCGCGUGCAGGAGAAGGCCUUCUGGGUUGUAAACUGCUUUUAUCUGGGAAGAAAACGCCCUUGUGAGGGUAACUGACGGUACCAGAUGAAUAAGCACCGGCUAACUCCGUGCCAGCAGCCGCGGUAAUACGGAGGGUGCAAGCGUUGUCCGGGAUUUAUUGGGUUUAAAGGGUGCGUAGGCGGCCCGUUAAGUCAGCGGUGAAAUCCCACGGCUCAACCGUGGAACUGCCGUUGAUACUGGCGGGCUUGAGUUCGGUCGAGGCGGGCGGAACUGGUGGUGUAGCGGUGAAAUGCAUAGAUACCACCAAGAACCCCGAUUGCGUAGGCAGCUCGCUGGGCCGAAACUGACGCUGAGGCACGAAAGCGUGGGGAGCGAACAGGAUUAGAUACCCUGGUAGUCCACGCCGUAAACGAUGAUGACUCGAUGUAAGCGAUAUACAGUUAGCGUCCAAGCGAAAGCGUUAAGUCAUCCACCUGGGGAGUACGCCCGCAAGGGUG
rnacentral:rRNA from 1 species